UGGGGAAUAUUGGACAAUGGGCGAAAGCCUGAUCCAGCCAUGCCGCGUGAAUGAUGAAGGCCUUAGGGUUGUAAAGUUCUUUCGUUGGUGAAGAUAAUGACGGUAACCAAAGAAGAAGCCCCGGCUAACUUCGUGCCAGCAGCCGCGGUAAUACGAAGGGGGCUAGCGUUGUUCGGAAUCACUGGGCGUAAAGCGCGCGUAGGCGGUCUAUCAAGUCAGAGGUGAAAGCCUGGAGCUUAACUCCAGAACUGCCUUUGAAACUGAUAGACUGGAGUCUUGGAGGGGUAGUGGAAUUCCUAGUGUAGAGGUGAAAUUCGUAGAUACUAGGAGGAACACCGGUGGCGAAGGCGGCUACCUGGACAAGUACUGACGCUGAGGCGCGAAAGCGUGGGGAGCAAACAGGAUUAGAUACCCUGGUAGUCCACGCCGUAAACGAUGAGUGCUAGCCGUUGGAGCUCAGGCUUCGGUGGCGCAGCUAACGCAUUAAGCACUCCGCCUGGGGAGUACGGUCGCAA
rnacentral:rRNA from 1 species